CUUACUAGGAAAAAUGAUGUGAGGAUGGUUAUGAAGAUAAAAGGAGGUGGUGAUGAUCUGAAGCAGAGCUUGCUGCACAUAACAAUGGGAAAGUGGAAGGUGCAGUGCACAGACAUCCUACAGCGAGAAGGCAAGGCCAAUGCUUUCACCAUCUUUUGUAUUAGUAUAAUGAGUGCUGAGGCUGAGCUGGCUUUUAGACA